AUUGAACGCUGGCGGCAGGCCUAACACAUGCAAGUCGAGCGCGCGGCGGACGGGUGUGUAAUGUCUGGGAAACUGCCCGAUGGAGGGGGAUAACUCUUGGAAACGGUAGCUAAUAUCGCAUACCAUCAGAUGUGCCCAGGUGGGAUUUGCUAGUAGGUGGGGUAACGGGUCACCUAGGCGACGAUCCCUAGCUGGUCUGAGAGGAUGACCAGCCACACUGGAACUGAGACACGGUCCAGACUCCUACGGGAGGCAGCAGUGGGGAAUAUUGCACAAUGGGCGCAAGCCUGAUGCAGCCAUGCCGCGUGUAUGAAGAAGGCCUUCGGGUUGUAAAGCACUUUCAGCGGGGAGGCGUUACCCGCAGAAGAAGCACCGGCUAACUCCGUGCCAGCAGCCGCGGUAAUAC
rnacentral:rRNA from 1 species